rnacentral:rRNA from 1 species
GUCUACAGCCAUGCCACCCUGAACAAGCCCAAUGUCUGAUCUCGGAAGCUAAGCAGAAUCUGGCCUGGUUAAUACUUGGAUGGGAGACCACCUAGGAAGACAAGGUGCUGUAGGCA